rnacentral:rRNA from 1 species
UACGUAGGGUGCAAGCGUUAAUCGGAAUUACUGGGCGUAAAGCGUGCGCAGGCGGCUUUGCAAGACAGAUGUGAAAUCCCCGGGCUCAACCUGGGAACUGCAUUUGUGACUGCAAGGCUAGAGUACGGUAGAGGGGGAUGGAAUUCCGCGUGUAGCAGUGAAAUGCGUAGAUAUGCGGAGGAACACCGAUGGCGAAGGCAAUCCCCUGGACCUGUACUGACGCUCAUGCACGAAAGCGUGGGUAGCAAACAGG